CAAGCCAGGCCACGCCCCUAACCUUUAAGCGGGCGCCCAAGCCGGGAAGGAAGCGGGUGUUGCGCUUGGAAGUUCUGUGAGGCUGCGGGAAGCCUCGUUCUCCCACCUGAAACGCGGAGAGGAAUUAUUAAAGUUGGAAGAGACGCGGAUUCCUUCGUUCACUCAGCAAACGUUGAACGCUUAUUGUAUGCCAGGUGCGUUCUGGGAUCUGCGGAUUCGAUGAUGACGUUAGUGAAGAAGACAGACUGAUAACGUAGCGCCGUGACUGGGCCAGUGUUUAACCCAUAUGUGCCUCGAUUUCCUCACCCAUGAAAUGGACAAUUACAAAACACUUGCAGAGGUUUUUUUUUGUUUGUUUGUUGUUGUUUUGUUUUUGAGACAGCAAGAAUUCCUGGACUCAAGUUGUCUUCCCAUCAGCCCUCCCUGCUUUAGUAGGAUUUCGCUACUGGACCCAGUGCUGAUUCUCUGCAACAGAGGGACCACAUGUCCAUAUUGCCAUGAAGUUUCUCUCUUUGCCUGUGACUACGGUAUAUAAUGAUCCCUGAAGAUGCUAUCCACCCAUUCACCCACCCACAUGCAUUGGACAUUUGUUGUGUGCUUGGUUAUGCUGUUCUACUUUUGGAGCCCAGAAGAACUGGGUUGUAAUCCCAUUCCUGACCCUUACUAGCUGUAUGUCCUCAAACAUCUGACUUUCUCUUGCUGAGCCUCAGUUUUUGCCUCUGUGCAAUGGGAAUAACAAAGUAUCUCAAGAAACUGUUGUGAAAGGGAGACAAGGUCAUACAGGAUUAGUAUAGUGCCUGCUACAUACUUGGUGCUCAAUAAGUG
rnacentral:lncRNA from 1 species